GAGUCUGCAGAGCUGCUGGCUGGAAGCUGCCUUGCCGGCUACAUAAAAAGCACCAGCGAAGUCAGAGCAAACGAAAAUGUCAUUCAGACAAUGACUUGUUUAUGCUGCUCUAUAUACUGUACCCUGACGUUCAGAGAAGUUUUCCUGCGUCACUCGGCAAAUAACGGGAGGCAUUUCGUAGAGCUGGCAAAGCACCAUCCGCUCUCCCGAUAGCCUUUUUGCACACGCUCCCCAUCAAAAGGCCCAGCCACUCCUUGGCAGCCUGGCUUCACCUCGACAAGAUCUGCCCUGGCUCGUGCAUUUGUCGACGCCCUGUGACAAUCGCUGGCCCUGAGCACUGUGGAACAUGUGACACCGCUGGCUACACGGCAGGCCCCCCCAGAGGGAAGUCAGGGUCUUGCGGUAUCAAAGGAGACGGCAGCGGUGCCUGUAGUGACCGCAAGGCCCAAGGAGGCUCCUGCAGGGCCCUGGGCCAUCUGGGAAGUAGUUCCGAGGAGGAGGAAGCUGCAGGGAAGAGAGACGCCUGGGACGGACCCUGACUAACCAGGGGAAGGCCUGAGAAGAGAGGCAGGAAGUGGCCCAGGGAAGCCUCAGCACAGGUGCAGCUUCUCCAUCAGCAGCCACGGGCAACUUCUGAGCCAAGUUCCAACUGGACCAAGCGCAGAGCAUGGACUACUCAAUAGGUGUUUGCGUAACACUGACAAGCAGAACCGAACCUGCGGCCUCUGGAACUUCAUGCAUGAGCCUCGACAGCGCUAGUCUCUGGGUGGCUGGGAGCAGUGGCGGCUCAUACGGAUUGAUCGAACGAGCCCCCGUGCUGGACCAGUGUCCAUUCCCUGGCUGGUGGAGUGGGGACCCUACGGGGAAG